ensembl:snoRNA U3 Small nucleolar RNA U3
AAGACUGUACUUUCAAGGAUCAUUUCUACAGUUUGUUACUAGAGAAGUUUCUCUGAAAGUGUAGAGCUCCGGAAACCACCAGCAGGAGACACAGCAAUCUCUCCUGAGCCUAGAGCCGAUUCUCGGUGUUUCUGCAACUGCCAUUCACCAUUGAUACUGGUUCUUUUCUUCUUUGGGAGAGCAAGAGGGAGAGGAUGCAAGAGGGAUGUGGA